CAUAGGCCUAGGACGCUCCAUUCUGCUGUCUAUAUAAAAGAGGAGGUGAUGGCAGAGAAGCUGGUUCUAGCAAUGACAGACAUUCUGCUGUCUAUAAAAUGUCUGUUUUUAUACCCAUUUGUUACUGACCAACUGAGAGAUGAACGAACUACUCACGCUUUAAUGUGACACCUUAGCCAGUAAGCGUCGGAGGCAUCAGGAGAUCUCCCACUACUGAGCACCCGAAAGGAAGGCAUCAGAAGAUCUCCCACUAGUGAGGAAGCGAGUGCCGUAGCACUGGUUCUUCUAUUGUGGCUUCUUCCGCACAUUUCUCUGUUAGCAGUAUCCAAUUCCCUCUUGCUCGGGCUUCCUCUGCAAGCCAUCGUUUUCUCCUUCAGGAC
rnacentral:lncRNA from 1 species